rnacentral:rRNA from 1 species
AUUGAACGCUGGCGGAAUGCUUUACACAUGCAAGUCGAACGGUAGAGGGGGCAACCCCUCGAGAGUGGCGAACGGGUGAGUAAUAUAUCGGAACGUGCCCAGUCGUGGGGGAUAACGUAGCGAAAGUUACGCUAAUACCGCAUACGAUCUAAGGAUGAAAGCGGGGGAUCGCAAGACCUCGCGCGAUUGGAGCGGCCGAUAUCAGAUUAGGUAGUUGGUGGGGUAAAGGCUCACCAAGCCAACGAUCUGUAGCUGGUCUGAGAGGACGACCAGGCACACUGGAACUGAGACACGGUCCAGACUCCUACGGGGGGCAGCAGUGGGGAAUUUUGGACAAUGGACGCAAGUCUGAUCCAGCCAUUCCGCGUGCAGGAUGAAGGCCCUCGGGUUGUAAACUGCUUUUGUACGGAGCGAAAAGGUCUCUCUUAAUACGGGGGGCUCAUGACGGUACCGUAAGAAUAAGCACCGGCUAACUACGUGCCAGCCGCCGCAGUAA